GACGAACGCUGGCGGCGUGCUUAACACAUGCAAGUCGAACGGAAAGGCCCUGCUUUUGUGGGGCGCUCGAGUGGCGAACGGGUGAGUAACACGUGAGUAACCUGCCCUUGACUUUGGGAUAACUUCAGGAAACUGGGGCUAAUACCGGAUAGGAGCUCCUGCUGCAUGGUGGGGGUUGGAAAGUUUCGGCGGUUGGGGAUGGACUCGCGGCUUAUCAGCUUGUUGGUGGGGUAGUGGCUUACCAAGGCUUUGACGGGUAGCCGGCCUGAGAGGGUGACCGGCCACAUUGGGACUGAGAUACGGCCCAGACUCCUACGGGAGGCAGCAGUGGGGAAUAUUGCACAAUGGGCGGAAGCCUGAUGCAGCAACGCCGCGUGCGGGAUGACGGCCUUCGGGUUGUAAACCGCUUUCGCCUGUGACGAAGCGUGAGUGACGGUAAUGGGUAAAGAAGCACCGGCUAACUACGUGCCAGCAGCCGCGGUGAUACGUAGGGUGCGAGCGUUGUCCGGAUUUAUUGGGCGUAAAGGGCUCGUAGGUGGUUGAUCGCGUCGGAAGUGUAAUCUUGGGGCUUAACCCUGAGCGUGCUUUCGAUACGGGUUGACUUGAGGAAGGUAGGGGAGAAUGGAAUUCCUGGUGGAGCGGUGGAAUGCGCAGAUAUCAGGAGGAACACCAGUGGCGAAGGCGGUUCUCUGGGCCUUUCCUGACGCUGAGGAGCGAAAGCGUGGGGAGCGAACAGGCUUAGAUACCCUGGUAGUCCACGCUGUAAACGGUGGGUACUAGGUGUGGGGUCCAUUCCACGGGUUCCGUGCCGUAGCUAACGCUUUAAGUACCCCGCCUGGGGAGUACGGCCGCAAGGCUAAAACUCAAAGGAAUUGACGGGGCCCCGCACAAGCGGCGGAGCAUGCGGAUUAAUUCGAUGCAACGCGUAGAACCUUACCUGGGUUUGACAUGGAUCGGGAGUGCUCAGAGAUGGGUGUGCCUCUUUUGGGGUCGGUUCACAGGUGGUGCAUGGCUGUCGUCAGCUCGUGUCGUGAGAUGUUGGGUUAAGUCCCGCAACGAGCGCAACCCUUGUUCACUGUUGCCAGCACGUUAUGGUGGGGACUCAGUGGAGACCGCCGGGGUCAACUCGGAGGAAGGUGGGGAUGACGUCAAGUCAUUAUGCCCCUUAUGUCCAGGGCUUCACGCAUGCUACAAUGGCUGGUACAGAGAGUGGCGAGCCUGUGAGGGUGAGCGAAUCUCGGAAAGCCGGUCUCAGUUCGGAUUGGGGUCUGCAACUCGACCUCAUGAAGUCGGAGUCGCUAGUAAUCGCAGAUCAGCAACGCUGCGGUGAAUACAAUCCCGGGGCU
rnacentral:rRNA from 1 species